rnacentral:lncRNA from 1 species
GGUACGGGCGUGAGCGUCGGUACGGGCGUGAGCGUCGGUACAGGCUUGCGUGUCUAUUAAUUGUUAUGUCCUUCAAGCAUGAAUUAAGUAACACCUUCUGGUUAUAAUGCCAGCCUGGAAUAUGAAUAUAAGGUUAGCUUCUACAAUUGAUUUGGCAGGAAUCAAAUCCGAGUUCCUCUACUGCGGAUUCGGCAGGGACCAGAAAAGGGAGUAACAGAAGAAAAAACUCACCUUUCUUCAAGAAAUAUUCCAACUGCUCUGCAUCUGUGAACAUGCUCUGCCUUCACUCCUGUCACUGAAGAUCCUUCACUGCACAGCUCUUUACCUCUACUCAACGCUUUGGAAAUAUAAUCAGCCGUCUCCGUCAGUGAUAGUUAUCUUCUACAUUCAUCUUCUACAUUCCCAGAUUCAACCUACAGCAGACAGAAAUUUUUUUUCCUCUGAACUUUUUACUGGC